AACGAACGCUGGCGGCAGGCUCAACACAUGCAAGUCGAGCGCCCCGCAAGGGGAGCGGCAGACGGGUGAGUAACGCGUGGGAACGUACCCUUUACUACGGAAUAACGCAGGGAAACUUGUGCUAAUACCGUAUGUGCCCUUCGGGGGUAAGAUUUAUCGGUAAGGGAUCGGCCCGCGUUGGAUUAGCUAGUUGGUGGGGUAAAGGCCUACCAAGGCGACGAUCCAUAGCUGGUCUGAGAGGAUGAUCAGCCACAUUGGGACUGAGACACGGCCCAAACUCCUACGGGAGGCAGCAGUGGGGAAUAUUGGACAAUGGGCGCAAGCCUGAUCCAGCCAUGCCGCGUGAGUGAUGAAGGCCCUAGGGUUGUAAAGCUCUUUCACCGGAGAAGAUAAUGACGGUAUCCGGAGAAGAAGCCCCGGCUAACUUCGUGCCAGCCGCCGCAGUAACAC
rnacentral:rRNA from 1 species